GAUGAACGCUGGCGGCGUGCUUAACACAUGCAAGUCGAACGAAGAUGCCGGAGUGCUUGCACUUUGGCAGACUGAGUGGCGGACGGGUGAGUAACGCGUGGGUAACCUGCCUUAUACAGGGGGAUAACAGUUGGAAACGGCUGCUAAUACCGCAUAAGCGCACGGUAUCGCAUGAUACAGUGUGAAAAACUCCGGUGGUAUAAGAUGGACCCGCGUCUGAUUAGCUUGUUGGUGAGGUAACGGCCCACCAAGGCGACGAUCAGUAGCCGGCCUGAGAGGGCGAACGGCCACAUUGGGACUGAGACACGGGACCAGACUCGUCGAUG
rnacentral:rRNA from 1 species